rnacentral:miRNA from 1 species
GGAAUGUAAAGAAGUAUGGGG